CCUCCUGCGAAGCCCCCCCCCGGGGCGCUGUGCAGCGAGACCGCUCCGGCGGCGCGGACGUGAUGAGUCGAUCAGAUAGACGAGGCCGGAUCCCCGGGUGCCCCGGGCCCGGCCCCUGAGUACGAGGCGAUUCUGAUCCG
ensembl:scaRNA